UUACGGCCAUAUCACUCUGAAACAUCGGCCCUCGUCCGAACACCGAAGUUAAGCAAUGCCGAGCCUGGUCAGUACCUAGAUGGCUGACCGUUUGGGAAUACCAG